CUCUCUCCAUUUUCGAAAGUUCGACGCGAUUUUUUUCCGUCUCUUUUUUUUCUUUUUCUUCUUUUUUUCUCUUCUCAGCUAUCGCCAAGUUCAUUUCGAAGCGCGUUAAGAUCGUACGAUCUAAAGAAAGGGAGAAGGAGGAGAGGCAACGUUCUCGAUAACUCCGAUAUUAAUUCCGCGCUUCUCGACUUUAUCGUCGAGCAAAAUCGUUACGACGACGACGACGACGACGAUGAAGACGACGAAGACGACUUCUCGGUGUUAUUUAACGCGAAAGUUUCGCAAUCCUGCGAGUCGCUUCGUCGACUAGAUCGACAACAUCGUGCCGAGUUCCAGUCGUAAGUACGGACAAUGUAUACUCGAUAACUGAGUCACUAGUAUCUAAGAUAUCUUACCCAUAGACACACAUAUCUGAUAUCCUCGAUCGUCGUCUUUUACCUUUCGAAAAAAAAAAACACACACAUUUAAAGUUGCAAGUGUUAAAACGAUUGUCCGUGACAUUAUCCCUGUGGAUUAUCUCCGAUCGAACGUAUCGAUCGAUAGUUUCGACGAAAGAAAUAUGGAAUCGUAAAAAAGAAAAAAAGAAAAAAAAAAAGAAAAGAAAGAAAAAUUUUUGUUCGUUAAACAACGUCGUACCUCGUGCGUGACAAAAUGUUCCCCUGUAAUUACUGCUACAUAAUAUACCUAUUACGUAAUAUGUAUCUACCUACGUAUUACCACGGCUUGUGGAUGUUAACUCUCGAGGUCGAGUUCGAUUUAAAAACAUCGUGAAAGGUCAACUUACACCGUAAUCAAACACUUCUUUUUCUUAUUACGUUACACAAUUUUUGUUUGUAAACUUCUCGCGAGGCCUCAGUCUUUCACGAGUGUUCGAAUCGAAAGGACCAGAAGAGAAGUCUUGAUAUAAUUACGAUUGAGAAUAAAUUCAAAGUUGUAAACGAAUGAUAUCUCGUUUCUUUCUUAUUAUUAGAUUCGAAAAGAUGGAGGAAGGAAAAGAUCGGGAUGAUCAAUAGGCUCGUCGUAAUCGUCGUAAUCGUCGUAAUCGUCGUCGUCGUCGUCGUCGUAUCACGGGACCGUGACAGCUGUACGAUGGAGAACCCUGAGAACUGGAGGAAAGUGGAAACGUAAUUCCGACAUAACUUUCUCGGAAUGCUUUUAUUAAAACUGUAAAAGCUUGGAAUUCGACGCUACGAAAGUCGACUGGCUUAGUUGCGAUAGAAACAGAGAAAUUUUCUUUUCUCCAUCUGCUUAUGUAAAGAGGAAUGAAUAGUAGCGUUUGAGGAGAGAGAGAGAGAGAGAGAGAGGGAGGGGAAGAAAGGAGAUAGAUAAAGAUGGAAACAUCGAAACUCGUUAGUAAUAACGAAGUCGAUGAUCGUACCUGCGCUGACCAUGUCGACAAAUCCAAGGAAAGGUGUAAGAAGGGCCAAGUCUCUCCUCGGUAGAAGAGAUGCAUGAGGAGGCAACGCGUUGCAAGCAGGUACGUAGUACGUCGACGUAGAGAAAGAAAGAGAGGGGGAAAGAGAGAGAGAGAGAGAGAGACAGACAGAAGGUUCCUAUCGUGUAACCGCGUGCCACGAGGAGCGAGCACCUGUUGGCUGCUCGUGUACAGCUUUUACAGGGAAUUCCUUGGUCUCUCUGUGCUCGCGCGCACCAUCGGACUUUCGACCAAGAAACGAAACGUGUUCUUUGCUUCGCCUUGGAACGGAUAUUUCAUUGCAUUCGACGUGACACAUGUAGAUAAAAGAUUCCGGGUGUCUUGUAUUCUGGCACGACAAAAGCACACGAACGUCUUUGGGAAAGUAUCCUUAGAACCCUUUUUAUCCGGCUAUUACGUUUCUGCAGGUAGAAGCUCCGCUAGCCUUUCAAAAUGGCAACGAGCCCUGCGAAAUGGUGUAUCUCUGGUGGAAAGACAAAAAAAUGGAGCACCGCUCCAAAUUUGUAAGUCCACAGCUUCCGGCCGUACGUACAUAAGACGACAACGACGAAGAGUGGCCGAAGAAGAGGAGAUCGACGAAGAGGAUGAACACCGCCAGAGCUUCCCAAAAUAAGGCUCGUGAGAAUCAGGGAAUUCCACUCCCACGUUUCUACGGUAGAACGCUAUGUGUCGAGAUGGAACGCGAUGCCGUGGAACUCUGCCAAAGUGACGUCAAAAUUGCCUUGAGUGCACUUCUUCAUCGCUUAUCCCUCUUUCUCUCUAUUUCUCCCUAUUCCUUCUUCACCGAACUACCCCCACACAUCUCACCCCUUCCCAUUUUCGAUCUCUACGCGUUUUCCUUUUCAUUUUAUUCCAUUUGUUUCCUUUUUUCUUUCUCUCUCUUUCU